rnacentral:rRNA from 1 species
UACGGAGGGUGCAAGCGUUAUCCGGAUUUAUUGGGUUUAAAGGGUGCGCAGGUUGUUUGAUAAGUCAGUGGUGAAAGUCUGUCGCUUAACGGUAGGAUUGCCAUUGAUAUUGUUGGACUUGAAUAUGGAUGAGGUAGGCGGAAUGUGUAGUGUAGCGGUGAAAUGCAUAGAUAUUACACAGAACACCGAUUGCGAAGGCAGCUUACUAAUCCAUCAUUGACGCUGAGGCACGAAAGCGUGGGGUGCGAACAGGA